ACGUAGGAUGCAAGCGUUGUCCGGAUUUACUGGGCGUAAAGGGCGCGUAGGCGGCAAUUCAAGUCAGCUGUGAAAUCUCCGGGCUUAACUCGGAACGGUCAGCUGAUACUGCUUUGCUAGAGUGCAGAAGGGGCAAUCGGAAUUCUUGGUGUAGCGGUGAAAUGCGUAGAUAUCAAGAGGAACACCUGAGGUGAAGACGGGUUGCUGGGCUGACACUGACGCUGAGGCGCGAAAGCUAGGGUAGCAAACGGGA
rnacentral:rRNA from 1 species